rnacentral:misc_RNA from 1 species
GAAAUGCGAUAAGUAGUGUGAAUUGCAGAAUUCAGUGAAUCAUCGAAUCUUUGAACGCACAUUGCGCCCCUUGGUGUUCCAUGGGGCAUGCCUGUUCGAGCGUCAUUUGUACCCUCAAGCUCUGCUUGGUGUUGGGUGUUUGUCCCGUCUCCGCGCGUGGACUCGCCCCAAAGUGAUUGGCAGCCGGCGUACUGGUCCCGGAGCGCAGCACAUGUCGCGCAAACGAGUGCCUUGGUACGGCGGCGUCCAUAAGCCCCUCUCUCACGCUCUUGACCUCGGAUCAGGUAGGGAUACCCGCUGAACUUAAGC